UCACACGCCUCCUUUAAGAAUAGCAAAGAGUAUUGGUAAGCGAUUUCUACACCAGGGUGCUGAUGGGGAGGAUUGUGUAACCGUGUGUGUGUGUGUGUGUGUGAGUGAGAAACCGAGCAGGAGAAAGGAAAGGAAAGACAGUUGACUAUCCUUCACCUGCCGCCCAAAGUACACCAACAGGAAGGGAUCUAAGAGAGAUCACAGGCUGUUUUCUCUUACCCAUGAGGCUUAGCGGGGGACGACAGCAGUCAAGGAAGUUUCUGCCCCGGGGGCCGGAGUGAAGAAGCAGCAGCAGCAGGAUCGCCAUCUUUUAAAAUCCCUCCUUUGGUGGCGUGACCCCUGACCCGGCCCCGGAGAAGGUUCCCUCCUGACUCCUGCCUGGAAGUCAUCUGCCCAUCGGUUCGGUAACCAGCGUCCUGUUCUACGCCGGUUCCGGUCGAUCGCUCCUGCCACGCCACACCAAACAUGACACCUACACCAGAGACCUCCUGCGACCUUAGCUGAGAAAUACGACCCCUCAUUAAAGUUAUUAUGCUUUGAGCUCU